UAGAGUUUUGAUCCUGGCUCAGAGCGAACGCUGGCGGCAGGCUUAACACAUGCAAGUCGAACGGGCUUCUUCGGAAGUCAGUGGCAGACGGGUGAGUAACACGUGGGAACGUGCCCUUCGGUUCGGAAUAACUCAGGGAAACUUGAGCUAAUACCGGAUACGCCCUUACGGGGAAAGGUUUACUGCCGAAGGAUCGGCCCGCGUCUGAUUAGCUUGUUGGUGGGGUAACGGCCUACCAAGGCGACGAUCAGUAGCUGGUCUGAGAGGAUGAUCAGCCACACUGGGACUGAGACACGGCCCAGACUCCUACGGGAGGCAGCAGUGGGGAAUAUUGGACAAUGGGCGCAAGCCUGAUCCAGCCAUGCCGCGUGAGUGAUGAAGGCCUUAGGGUUGUAAAGCUCUUUUGUCCGGGACGAUAAUGACGGUACCGGAAGAAUAAGCCCCGGCUAACUUCGUGCCAGCAGCCGCGGUAAUACGAAGGGGGCUAGCGUUGCUCGGAAUCACUGGGCGUAAAGGGCGCGUAGGCGGCCGAUUAAGUCGGGGGUGAAAGCCUGUGGCUCAACCACAGAAUUGCCUUCGAUACUGGUUGGCUUGAGACCGGAAGAGGACAGCGGAACUGCGAGUGUAGAGGUGAAAUUCGUAGAUAUUCGCAAGAACACCAGUGGCGAAGGGG
rnacentral:rRNA from 1 species